GAAACGGCAAGUGGUUGUGAUCCGUUCAACGAAUGAGAACGGUGAUACCUCUUUUUUUCAAUCAUCUCAAUCGAUAGAGAACCUGACAUUUGCAGGCCUCUCUCGCAGGCUACCUCCCAUCUUACCCUAUCUCUCUCAGCUCCCUCCUCGCAGCAGACUCACGGGCCUCUCUCUCUACCAAACGCAAGCCCCUCACUCUCUCUCAGUUCUCUCCUCGUAGCAGAGUCGCAGGCGCCUCUCUCUCUACCAAACGCAAGCCCCUCUCUCUCUCUCAGCUCCCUCCUCGCAGCAGAUCUACUCUCUCUCUACGCAAAGGGCUUUCUCUCUGAGAAAUCUCUCUCUCUCUCUAAAAUCUGAGAUAAAAAGAAAAAUGGGCUUUCUCUCCUUGGAUGGGUUUCACCUAGAUUGGAAAAACUGAGAAAUCUGAAAAAUCCCUGAUAAAAGGAAAAAGGGAAAACUCCGUUAUCACAGGCUACCAUUAAGAGAAGAGUCUCUCUCUACACGAAGGGCUUUAUAACAGGGUAAUGUUAGUACCUGAGAUGGACCUCACCAUUUCAAAAAGUGUGGCAUCCCCCACAUGGCCAGAGGAUGACAACAUGGGGGAUACUGUAGAGCCCAUGGAGCAAGUUCCGUUGGUUGCAACUCCGCCCCACAAUAAGUUCACAAAUCCCAAAAACAGGGAACAUGCGUUGUCGUCCAAGGGGUCAGAAAUAGAGAAACCUCACAUAGGAAUAAAAUUCGGUACUGAAAAUGAUGUAUUUGAGUUUUACAAGGCUUUUGCAUUGGUGCAUGGGUUUGGUGUCAGAAAGGGAACUACUCAUAACAAUAAGGAUGGAAAGAGAACUGUUAGGGAUUUUAUAUGUUCCAAGGAAGGUUUCUGUAUGGCGAAAGAAGUGUUACCUACAAAAAAAUUCCCUUAGUCAAGGUGUGGAUGUGUAGCAAAGAUGUGCGUAAGCAUAAAUGCCAAUAAUGAGUGGGUUGUCACAAUGUUUGUUAAGGAUCACAAUCACGACUUUAUAUCUCCAAGAAAAGCCCGACUCAUUUGAUCGCACCGAACAAUAUCGGAUGCGACAAAGACAAUGAUAAACUCAAUGAGCUCCGCUGUAGUAAAGUCUCGGAAUAUCUAUGAUAUAUUUUUAGAGCAGUCUGGAGGGGUUGAUAAUAUCCCUUGCUUACAAAAAGACAUUGAAAACCAAUUAUCAUUGAAGAGAAGAAAAUUCAGAGGAGAAGAUGGGAACCGUACGAUGGAAUGGUUAAUCGAUAUAAAAAGAUCGAAUCCAUCUUUUUUCUAUAAGGUAAAAUUAGAUGAAGAAAAUCAUAUUGUCAGCCUAUUAUGGGUAGAUGCCAUGUCAAGGGUGUUCUGCAACUACUUCUCAGAUGUGUUCACUUUUGAUAUCACAUAUAAGAGAAACUCUUUUGGCAUGCCCUUUGCUCCCAUACUUGGAGUGAAUCACCACCUUAGCACAACAUUUUUUGGGUUUGCACUUAUAUUUGAUGAGAAUGUGGAGUCAUUUGUAUGGGUAUUUGAAAAUUGGCUAGAGGCAAUGGGUGGACGUCAAUCGGGAGUAAUUAUCACCAAUCAGGAUCCUGCAAUAACCACUACAAUGAGACAAGUUAUGAAUAAAAGCAGACAUCAUUAUUGUAAGUAGCACAUACUUUCAAAUGUCAAAGAAAAUUUGUGUCAUGUCUUGCGAAAGAGUCCAUCUUUUCUAGACCACUUCAGGAAUUGUAUAAUGAGUGAAACCAAUGAAGAAUUUGAGUCAGAACAAAAAUCUCUAAUUGAGAAAUAUAAUCUUCAAGAGAAUGAAUGGCUCAAUAGAUUGUACAGAUGUCAAAAGCAAUGGAUUGAUGCAUACGUGGCAGAUGCAUUCACAGCCGGUAUAUCAUCGACUCAAAGAAGCGAAGAAAUGAAUAAGCACUUCAAAAAUUACAUGAAUUCCAAUACAAGCUUGCGCACAUCGUUGGAAAACUACUCUAAAAGUGCAUGAUAAAAAACUUCUUAAGAUGAGAGAAAAUUACUUAAAGAACAUCACAUCUAUGCCUUUUUUUAGGACUACGUGUGACAUCGAGGCUCACACUUUGAAGUUAUAUACAUACAAAGUUAUGAAGUUGUUUGGGGAAGAAGUUACAGAAGGCAUCAAUUACAUGAGUAAAAUUAUUGAAGAGAAUGACACAGUUGCAAUCUUCAAGGUAUUAAAACGGGAAACUGGAACAAGGACCAACACUGUAGAGUUCAAUAGUCACGACCAAAAUUUUUAUUGUACUUGCCACAUGUAUGAGAGGCUAAGCAUUAUUUGUAGGCAUGGGAUUAGGUUGUUGAUGGUGAGAAAUAAUUUUGAAAUCCCUUCGCAUUACAUAAUGAAGAGGUGGACGAAAAAUGUGAUGCAAGGUGUUGUAGUUGAUGCCAACAGGAAACAAAUUGAAGGUACUUCUGAUCUACCCGGUUCCAUUCGUUUUAAUGAGGUUUGUCAAGCCACUAGAGUACUAGCAGAGUAUGCUUCAUAAAAGGUAAAACUUCAUGCAUUUAUAAUGUUAGAAAUAACAAGUACACUUGCAAAGGUUGAGGCCAAGAGUGGGGGUGUGGUAUUACCACCUGGUGCUAUUAAAACCCCUUGCAACACUCGUACUAAGAAUAUGAAUGCCAGCAAUAGCAACCGUGCUGAGGUUGAGGGACAUGCACAUCGUAACAUCCUUGAGUCCCCCCCCCGGACACGAACAACGGGGAGACCUACCAAUGAUAGAUAUGUAACUCGGGCUGAGAUAGAGGUAGACAAAGUGAAAGAGAAGGAAGUUACUCGAAAGUGCGCAAAGGGUGUGGACAUGACAGAAAGCAUUGUCUAGCUGUCACACACUUAAAGUAUGAAUGGACUAUUACUCCUUCUUUCGUACUUUUUGUGAUGGUAAUAUGAAUUCCUUAGUUAUAAAUAUUUGAAAUGGGUUUUAUUCAUUUAGGUUAAAUAUCAAUAUAAGAUGCACAGAUGGGUCAAGUGAGAAUGUGGAACACGAUGAGUAAUGGUAUGAAAUUUUAGUUUUGCAUUGUAAUCAGUAAACAAGUAUUUGUUGCAUUGAAUUUGCAUUGUAAGAAAUUUUAUUGCAUUCAAAUUUUCAUGCU